GGUGGUGCAUGGCUGUCGUCAGCUCGUGUCGUGAGAUGUUGGGUUAAGUCCCGCAACGAGCGCAACCCUCGUCCCAUGUUGCCAUCACUUAGGGUGGGCACUCUUGGGAGACUGCCGGUGUAAAACUGGAGGAAGGUGGGAUGACGUCAAGUCAUCAUGCCCUUUAUGUCUUGGGCUGCACACGUGCUACAAUGGUCGGUACAAAGAGGUGCGAUACCGUGAGGUGGAGCGAAUCUCACAAAGCCGAUCUAAGUCCGGAUUGAAGGCUGCAACUCGCCUUCAUGAAGUCGGAGUCGCUAGUAAUCGUGGAUCAGAAUGCCACGGUGAAUACGUUCCCGGGCCUU
rnacentral:rRNA from 1 species